rnacentral:misc_RNA from 1 species
CCGAGUUUACAACUCCCAAACCCACUGUGAACCUUACCUAUCGUUGCUUCGGCGGGACCGCCCCGGCGCCGUAUUUCAGGCCCGGACCCAGGCGCCCGCCGGAGGCCCGAAACUCUGCCUUCUAUUGAGUAUUUCUCCUCUGAUUGCAAAGAAAAACAAAUGAAUCA